rnacentral:rRNA from 1 species
GACGAACGCUGGCGGCGUGCUUAACACAUGCAAGUCGAACGGAAAGGCCCUGCUUGCAGGGUACUCGAGUGGCGAACGGGUGAGUAACACGUGGGUGAUCUGCCCUGCACUUCGGGAUAAGCCUGGGAAACUGGGUCUAAUACCGGAUAGGAGCCAUUUUUAGUGUGAUGGUUGGAAAGUUUUUUCGGUGUAGGAUGAGCUCGCGGCCUAUCAGCUUGUUGGUGGGGUAAUGGCCUACCAAGGCGGCGACGGGUAGCCGGCCUGGGGGGGUGGACGGCCACAUUGGGACUGAGAUACGGCCCAGACUCCUACGGGAGGCAGCAGGGGGGAAAAUUGCACAAUGGGCGCAAGCCUGAUGCAGCGACGCCGCGGGGGGGAGGACGGCCUUCGGGUUGUAAACUCCUUUCGCUAGGGACGAAGCUUUUUGUGACGGUACCUAGAAAAGAAGCACCGGCUAACUACGUG